AGCAGCUACACUGCCCAGUGCUGCCAAAAACUCCAGGUCUCACACUCCUGUCCCUUUGCUCGAGAUUGGAUAAAUUUGGGCCUUGAUAACA
ensembl:snoRNA